UACAGCCAUAUCAUGUUGAAACGAUCCCGUACGAUCACGAAAGUUAAGCAACGUCGAGCCUGGUCUGUACCUAGAUGGGUAGCCGCUUGGGAAUACCAAGUACUGUA